rnacentral:rRNA from 1 species
AUUGAACGCUGGCGGCAGGCCUAACACAUGCAAGUCGAGCGAGCGGCGGACGGGUGCGUAAUGUAUGGGGACCGCCCGAUAGCGGGGGAUAACUACUGGAAACCGCAGCUAAUACGGUAUACUAUCGGCUACCCCAUAGGGGAUUAGCUAGUAGGUGAGGUAAUUGCUCACCUAGGCGACGAACCCUAGCUGGCCUGAGAGGAUGAUCAGCCACACUGGGACUGAGACACGGCCCAGACUCCUACGGAGGCAGCAGUGGGGAAUAUUCGGCAAUGGGCGCAAGCCUGAUGCAGACAUGCCGCGUGUAUGAAGAAGGCCCUAGGAUUGUAAAGUUCUGUCAGUCGGGAGGCGUUACCUACAGAGAAAGCAACGGCUAACUCCGUGCCAGCAGCCGCGGUAAUUC